ensembl:processed_transcript
GACAACGUAAAUACAACUCAACGCAAAUAGCAGCUCGAGAUUGUGUCUGAUGAUUAUUCAUUGAAUUCCCCUUUUCCAGUUCUGCAGUUCACCCAAGAGACCAGGACGGAUAAUGGAGAUUCAGAGAGUGAAAGCUAGAGGGUUUUUCUGGAAACGCCAUGUGCUUUUUCCCAGAGGAUGCACCUGAAGAGAAGCUGAAGCAUUCAUUCAGGCGCUCCGGAGAAAAGGCAGAUUGAAAAUAUUUCAAAUAAAAUGCUUUCUA